rnacentral:rRNA from 1 species
GCCAUUGCUAUUGGGAUCCGACUAAGCCAUGCGAGUCGAGAGUCAUUUGGACUCGGCGAACUGCUCAGUAACACGUGGCCAAACUACCCUGUGGAGGGGAAUAACCUCGGGAAACUGAGGAUAAGACCUCAUAGGUGCCCGAUGCUGGAAUGCACGGGCACCCAAACGUUCCGACGCCACAGGACGUGGCUGCGGCCGAUUAGGUUGACGGUGGGGUAAAGGCCCACCGUGCCAGUAAUCGGUACGGGUUGUGAGAGCAAGAGCCCGGAGAUGGACUCUGAGACACGAGUCCAGGCCCUACGGGGCGCAGCAGGCGCGAAACCUUUACACUGUACGCGAGUGCGAUAAGGGGAUCCCAAGUGCCCACGCCUAGCGUGGGCUUUUCCGAACCGUAAAAUGGUUCAGGAAUAAGGGCUGGGAAAGACCGGUGCCAGCCGCCGCGGUAACACCGGCAGCUCGAGUGAUGGCCGAUUUUAUUGGGCCUAAAGCGUCCGUAGCCUGCCGUACGGGUCCGUCGGGAAAUCCGCCCGCUCAACGGGCGGACGUCCGGCGGAAACCAUACGGCUUGGGACCAGAGGACCCGAGGGGUACGUCGGGGGUAGGAGUGAAAUCCCGAGAUCCUCGACGGACCGCCGGUGGCGAAAGCGCCUCGGGAAGAUGGAUCCGACGGUCAGGGACGAAAGCUUGGGUCUCGAACCGGAUUAGAUACCCGGGUAGUCCAAGCUGUAAACGAUGCUCGCUAGGUGUGGCGUAGGCUACGAGCCUGCGCUGUGCCAAAGGGAAGCCACGAAGCGAGCCGCCUGGGAAGUACGUCUGCAAGGAUGAAACUUAAAGGAAUUGGCGGGGGAGCACUACAACGGGAGGAGCUGCGGUUA